UCAGAUUGAACGCUGGCGGCAGGCCUAACACAUGCAAGUCGAGCGAGAAAGCACUUCGGGGUGAGUAGGUGAGUAACGCGUAGGAAUUUGCCCAGUAGUGGGGGACAACAUGUGGAAACGCAUGCUAAUACCGCAUACGCCCUAUGGGGGAAAGCAGGGGAUCUUCGGGCAGAUGAGCCUGCGUCAGAUUAGCUAGUUGGUGGGGUAAUGGCCCACAAAGGCAACGAUCUGUAGCUGGUCUGAGAGGAUGACCAGCCACACUGGGACUGAGACACGGCCCAGACUCCUACGGGAGGCAGCAGUGGGGAAUAUUGGACAAUGGGGGCAACCCUGAUCCAGCCAUGCCGCGUGUGUGAAGAAGGCUCUAGGGUUGUAAGCACUUUCAGUAGGGAGGAAAAGUUAGUAGUUAAUAUCUGCUAGCUUGACGUUAGCAACAGAAGAAGCACCGGCUAACUCCGUGCCAGCAGCCGCGGUAAUACGGAGGGUGCGAGCGUUAAUCGGAAUUACUGGGCGUAAAGCGUGCGUAGGCGGUUUGUUAAGCAAGAUGUGAAAGCCCAGGGCUCAACCUUGGAACUGCAUUUUGAACUGGCAAACUAGAGUACUGUAGAGGGUGGUGGAAUUUCCAGUGUAGCGGUGAAAUGCGUAGAGAUUGGAAGGAACAUCAGUGGCGAAGGCGGCCACCUGGACAGAUACUGACGCUGAGGCACGAAAGCGUGGGGAGCAAACAGGAUUAGAUACCCUGGUAGUCCACGCCGUAAACGAUGUCAACUAGCUGUCUGUGGACUUGAUCCGUGGGUAGCGGAGCUAACGCAUUAAGUUGACCGCCUGGGGAGUACGGCCGCAAGGUUAAAACUCAAAUGAAUUGACGGGGGCCCGCACAAGCGGUGGAGCAUGUGGUUUAAUUCGAUGCAACGCGAAGAACCUUACCAUCCCUUGACAUCCAGAGAAGAGACUAGAGAUAGACUUGUGCCUUCGGGAACUCGUGACAGGUGCUGCAUGGCUGUCGUCAGCUCGUGUUGUGAAAUGUUGGGUUAAGUCCCGCAACGAGCGCAACCCCUAUCCUUAUUUGCCAGCGCGUAGUGGCAACUCUAAGGAGACUGCCCGUGAUAAGCGGGAGGAAGGUGUGGAUGACGUCAAGUCCUCAUGGCCCUUACGGGUUGGGCUACACACGUGCUACAAUGGCAGUGACAAUGGGUUAAUCCCAAAAAAACUGUCUCAGUUCGGAGGGGUCUGCAACUCGACCCCAUGAAGUCGGAAUCGCUAGUAAUCGCGUAACAGCAUGACGCGGUGAAUACGUUCCCGGGCCUUGUACACACCGCCCGUCACACCAUGGGAGUUGGGUCUACCCGAAGGCCGUGCGCUAACCCUUCGGGGGCAGGCGGCCACGGUAGGAUCAGCGACUGGGGUG
rnacentral:rRNA from 1 species